CUACGGGUGGCUGCAGUAGGGAAUCUUAGACAAUGGGGGAAACCCUGAUCUAGCCAUGCCGCGUGAGUGAUGAAGGCCCUAGGGUUGUAAAACUCUUUCGCCUGGGAAGAUAAUGACGGUACCAGGUAAAGAAGCCCCGGCUAACUCCGUGCCAGCAGCCGCGGUAAUACGGGGGGGGCUAGCGUUGUUCGGAAUUACUGGGCGUAAAGCGCGCGUAGGCGGACUUUUAAGUCAGGGGUGAAAUCCCGGGGCUCAACCCCGGAACUGCCCUUGAUACUGGGAGUCUUGAGUUCGAGAGAGGUGAGUGGAAUUCCGAGUGUAGAGGUGAAAUUCGUAGAUAUUCGGAGGAACACCAGUGGCGAAGGCGGCUCACUGGCUCGAUACUGACGCUGAGGUGCGAAAGCGUGGGGAGCAAACAGGAUUAGAUACCCCCGUAGUC
rnacentral:rRNA from 1 species